GAUCUGCGGUGGGUACGGGCAGACUAGAGUGCAGUAGGGGAGACUGGAAUUCCUGGUGUAGCGGUGGAAUGCGCAGAUAUCAGGAGGAACACCGAUGGCGAAGGCAGGUCUCUGGGCUGUAACUGACGCUGAGGAGCGAAAGCAUGGGGAGCGAACAGGAUUAGAUACCCUGGUAGUCCAUGCCGUAAACGUUGGGCACUAGGUGUGGGGACCAUUCCACGGUUUCCGCGCCGCAGCUAACGCAUUAAGUGCCCNNCCUGGGGAGUACGGCCGCAAGGCUAAAACUCAAAGGAAUUGACGGGGGCCCGCACAAGCGGCGGAGCAUGCGGAUUAAUUCGAUGCAACGCGAAGAACCUUACCAAGGCNUGACAUGUANUCGAUCGCCGUAGAGAUACGGUUUCCCCUUUGGGGCGGGUUCACAGGUGGUGCAUGGUUGUCGUCAGCUCGUGUCGUGAGAUGUUGGGUUAAGUCCCGCAACGAGCGCAACCCUCGUUCCAUGUUGCCAGCACGUAGUGGUGGGGACUCAUGGGAGACUGCCGGGGUCAACUCGGAGGAAGGUGAGGACGACGUCAAAUCAUCAUGCCCCUUAUGUCUUGGNCUUCACGCANNCUACAAUGGCCGGUACAAUGGGUUGCGAUACUGUGAGGUGGAGCUAAUCCCAAAAAGCCGGUCUCAGUUCGGAUUGGGGUCUGCAACUCGACCCCAUGAAGUCGGAG
rnacentral:rRNA from 1 species